GAUGAACGCUGGCGGCGUGCUUAACACAUGCAAGUCGAACGGUGAAGGCGGAGCUUGCUCUGCUGGAUCAGUGGCGAACGGGUGAGUAACACGUGAGCAAUCUGCCCCUGACUCUGGGAUAAGCGCUGGAAACGGCGUCUAAUACUGGAUACGAGCUGCGAAGGCAUCUUCAGCAGCUGGAAAGAAUUUCGGUCAGGGAUGAGCUCGCGGCCUAUCAGCUUGUUGGUGAGGUAAUGGCUCACCAAGGCGUCGACGGGUAGCCGGCCUGAGAGGGUGACCGGCCACACUGGGACUGAGACACGGCCCAGACUCCUACGGGAGGCAGCAGUGGGGAAUAUUGCACAAUGGGCGAAAGCCUGAUGCAGCAACGCCGCGUGAGGGACGACGGCCUUCGGGUUGUAAACUUCUUUUAGCAGGGAAGAAGCGAAAGUGACGGUACCUGCAGAAAAAGCGCCGGCUAACUACGUG
rnacentral:rRNA from 1 species